UACGAAGGGGGCUAGCGUUGUUCGGAAUUACUGGGCGUAAAGCGCGCGCAGGCGGUCUUCCAAGUCAGUGGUGAAAGCCUGGAGCUCAACUCCAGAACUGCCAUUGAAACUGUUAGACUUGAGUCCGGGAGAGGUGAGUGGAACUGCGAGUGUAGAGGUGAAAUUCGUAGAUAUUCGCAAGAACACCAGUGGCGAAGGCGGCUCACUGGCCCGGUACUGACGCUGAGGUGCGAAAGCGUGGGGAGCAAACAGGG
rnacentral:rRNA from 1 species